AGUCGAGCGAGCGGAACUAAAGAUUUACUUCGGUAAUGACGUUAGGAAAGCGAGCGGCGGAUGGGUGAGUAACACGUGGGGAACCUGCCCCAUAGUCUGGGAUACCACUUGGAAACAGGUGCUAAUACCGGAUAAGAAAGCAGAUCGCAUGAUCAGCUUUUAAAAGGCGGCGUAAGCUGUCGCUAUGGGAUGGCCCCGCGGUGCAUUAGCUAGUUGGUAAGGUAAAGGCUUACCAAGGCGAUGAUGCAUAGCCGAGUUGAGAGACUGAUCGGCCACAUUGGGACUGAGACACGGCCCAAACUCCUACGGGAGGCAGCAGUAGGGAAUCUUCCACAAUGGACGCAAGUCUGAUGGAGCAACGCCGCGUGAGUGAAGAAGGUUUUCGGAUCGUAAAGCUCUGUUGUUGGUGAAGAAGGAUAGAGGUAGUAACUGGCCUUUAUUUGACGGUAAUCAACCAGAAAGUCACGGCUAACUACGUGCCAGCAGCCGCGGUAAUACGUAGGUGGCAAGCGUUGUCCGGAUUUAUUGGGCGUAAAGCGAGCGCAGGCGGAAGAAUAAGUCUGAUGUGAAAGCCCUCGGCUUAACCGAGGAACUGCAUCGGAAACUGUUUUUCUUGAGUGCAGAAGAGGAGAGUGGAACUCCAUGUGUAGCGGUGGAAUGCGUAGAUAUAUGGAAGAACACCAGUGGCGAAGGCGGCUCUCUGGUCUGCAACUGACGCUGAGGCUCGAAAGCAUGGGUAGCGAACAGGAUUAGAUACCCUGGUAGUCCAUGCCGUANACGAUGAGUGCUAAGUGUUGGGAGGUUUCCGCCUCUCAGUGCU
rnacentral:rRNA from 1 species